CUUCUCUCACACAGACACACCCUUCUGCCUCUCUCUCGAUCUCCCUACACUCCGGCAACUGGAGCCGAAGUCCGGCGAGCUCCGGUGACCCCCCUUCUUCACUCCGAUUAAGCACCACCAUCACCAUCACCCUCCUCCUCCCUCUUUCAAGCUCGCACCUGAACAAACCACCUCCACUGGUCUCUUCAGCCAGCGCCCGACACCACUGUUGGUGGCGGCGGCGGCGGCUUAACGACAGCGGCGGCAACAGGUUCCUCUCCCAACAAACCACUCCCACAGCUCGUCUUUCCCUCUCUUCCCGAUACACGACAGCGGCAAACCACGAAGACGUCGCCGGGAACCGCAAGCUUUUGUUUCGGUUAAUCGCUCUCGUUCAUUCUCUUGGAAUUCUCAAUCCUUACUUGUGCGUUACUUUCAAGAAAUCGCAAAGCAAUUUUGUUGAUGAUGAUGCUAUAAAAGAAGUAGCGUUGAUGCCUAGA